rnacentral:rRNA from 1 species
UCCGAAGGGGGCUAUCGUUGCUCGGAAUCACUGGGCGUAAAGCGCACGUAGGCGGACUCUUAAGUCGGGGGUGAAAUCCUGGAGCUCAACUCCAGAACUGCCUUCGAUACUGAGAGUCUUCGAGUUCGGGAGAGGUGAGUGGAACUGCGAGUGUAGAGGUGAAAUUCGUAGAUAUUCGCAAGAACACCAGUGGCGAAGGCGGCUCACUGGCCCGAUACUGACGCUGAGGUGCGAAAGCGUGGGGAGAAAACAGG